CACAAGCUGUUCCAAAAGUUGCUUUGGGGAAUAAGGGUUUGGAGGUGGGGGUAGGAAGCAAAAUGGAAAUAUAGUUAACUAGGAAAUACAGUUAAUUUUCAGAAAGUUCACUUUGGGCAAUACCAUGUUAAUCCAAUUACAAUAGUUUUCUACUGCAAGACUUUUCACAUUCUGAAAUAUGAAAAUGUGCGUGAGGGUUUUCAGGACUGGAAUAGUAUGUAAUAUCUCCUAAUCUUUCUGACUGUGUGUGUGUAUGUAUGUGUGUAUAAAAUACUUGUUAAUAGUUCCAAAGAAUGUCAUUUGGAAAAUUCUGGACAUUUUGAAGAAAUUAUAUGGAGUUGAUAAGGAAAAUUUCUUCUGUUUUCCUAAGGUAAGUGUGUUUACAUUUGUUUAUUGUGUAGGAUGAAAAUGCUGCCAUUAAAACUUUAUUAUUCAUAACUAAGCAUUUUAUCUUAGGUUUUCAUUUCCAAUGAAAAUAUAAAAUUCUGGUUAAGGAAUCUAUUGCCAUUCAGAUAUCAUUAUUCUUGGAUUCAAAAAGUAAUUUGUGUUUUGAUUUUUAGUGAAUAUAUAAAUUCUGGUUAUGCUCAUAUUCAGUGUACCCUUUCUGUGAAUGGUUUUUAAAAAAGGCCUUUAUAAUGCAUGUUUCUUACUCCUUUGAUAGAGACACCUGAUAAUUUGGGAAGGAGGGUGGAGGUCUUGGUCACAGUGCAGUUGGUUUAUAACUUUAGGUCCUGCUCAUUGGUUUUUUGGUGGAAGGAAGUUAGCAAGAAUUCAGAAUUUACAGUCUUGUGAAUGAUUUCUUUUUUUAAUGUAGGCAAAUCCUGUGCAUGUGUGCUAAGUCACUUCAGUCGUGUUCGACUCUUGAGACCCUAGGGACCAUAGCCCACCAUGCUCCUCUGUACAUGGAUUCUACAGACAAGAAUACUGGAGUGGGUUGCCAUGCCCUCCACCAGGGGAGAUUCCCGAACCAGGGAUCAAGCCUGCAUCUCAUCUCCUGCAUUGGCAGAUGAAAAUUUACCUCCUCAGAGAAGACAGUAUUGACCACUUAACAUAAAUUAAUCUACCAAUCCUCUGGUCCCUCUACACCACAAGGAGCAACGGAAUCCCUACCCUGGGGGAGUCUUAAUUAAGAGUGGAUCAUGGAGAGCUCGCGUUGAUGUCAACAAAGCAAGAUUUGUGCUCCGGGCAAUCGGGAGAGAAUCAGUUUCCAGCCAGUGAGUUCUCUGAGUCCCAGAGAAGGAAAAGGUCUAGAAUUGAGCAUAUGGGAAGGCUCUGUAGGCCUUUUUACUUUAUUGGAUUUAGCUACGCUCACAUAAUGAAAUUGUUGGGAUUGUUUAAACCUUCUGCAGGGACUUCUGUUAGCAGAGAAGAAACUUGUACUAAAG
ensembl:lncRNA